AUGGUGCUGAGAAAUCUUAGGGACAUGUUGCACUCAAUGGGAAAAGAUAUAGAAUCUUUUCCUCUUCCAGAGAUCGACACACAGCAUGAGAUGACAAACGGCGUGCCUAGGGAAAUCAUUGAGGAGACCUCCACAGAGGUGGACCCUGAGGGCACAUUGUUGCAUAAAAACCUAAAUACCGAGCAAAGGAUGGCCUAUGACGAAAUCCUAGCCACAGUUGACUGCCAAAGAGGAGGUAUAUUCUUUGUCGAUGGGCCGGGAGGCACAGGAACUUUUCUUUACAGGGCGCUCUUGGCCACAGUACGCGGACAAGGCAAGAUUGCAGUGGCGACAGCCACUUCCGGUGUUGCUGCUUCCAUAAUGCCUGGAGGGAGGACCGCACACUCAAGGUUCAAAAUUCCACUA
rnacentral:rRNA from 1 species